rnacentral:rRNA from 1 species
CGAAGGGUGCAAGCGUUAUCCGGAUUCAUUGGGUUUAAAGGGUGCGUAGGUGGGGCGAUAAGUCAGUGGUGAAAUCCUGCGGCUUAACCGUAGAAUUGCCAUUGAUACGGUCGCUCUUGAGUACGCUUGACGUGGGCGGAAUGUGCCGUGUAGCGGUGAAAUGCUUAGAUAUGGCACAGAACACCGAUAGUGAAGACAGCUCACGAAGGCGAAACUGACACUGAGGCACGAAAGCGUGGGGAUCGAACAGGAUUAGAUACCCUGGUAGUCCACGCCGUAAACGAUGAUCACUCGUGAUUGGCGAUAUACGGUCAGUCACCUAGCGAAAGCGUUAAGUGAUCCACCUGGGGAGUACGAUCGCAAGAUUG